rnacentral:rRNA from 1 species
UACGUAGGGACCGAGCGUUGUCCGGAAUCAUUGGGCGUAAAGAGCGUGUAGGCGGCUUGUUAAGUCUUGCGUGAAAUCUCGGGGCUCAACCCCGAGCGGUCGUGAGAAACUGGCAGGCUAGAGUGCGGGAGAGGAGAGUGGAAUUCCUGGUGUAGCGGUGAAAUGCGCAGAUAUCAGGAAGAACACCCGUGGCGAAGGCGGCUCUCUGGGACGGUACUGACGCUGAGACGCGAAAGCGUGGGUAGCAAACAGG